GAACGAGUGACGCUCAUCAAGAUUUGGGUCUACGUGGAGAUCGUAUUGGUCAUCCUUGCAAUAAUCGGUUCAGUGGUGUUGUUUGUGCUCGGCGAGCAUUGGAUCUCCCUCGUUGUUGUUCUCAUCGGGACGGCUAUUUCAUCGUACCUCAUCGUCGUAGUGCGCUCCUACGCCGUACAGUUGGAAUCCAGUGGCGGUGGUGGCGGAAACAUCAUCUAAGGCGCUUGACUUCAUUCCCUUCUGCGUACAUUCGUUUUUUGUACAUCGAACACAUGUCAAGAGGUAAUUACUGCGAACACCAAUGCUGGACAUCGAACGUAUAACAAAAAGUAAUUACGGAUAUCAACACAGGAUAUCAAACAAUUGACAAGAGGUAAUUACGGCGACUAUCAAUGCUAUAUACGUCGAACGAAUGACAAGAGGUAAUUUCGGAGACCAUCAACGCGAGACAUCAAACAAAUGACAUGAGGUGAUUACGGCGCCCAGGAAUGCUGGACAUCGAACGUAUGACAAGAGAGAGACCAUCGGAGACGGAGACCAUCUACGCGGGACAUCAAACAAAUGACAAGAAGUGAUUACGGCGCUCAUCAAUGCUGGACAUCGAACGUAUGACAAGAGGUAAUUACGGAGACCAUCUACGCGGGACAUCAAACAAACGACAAGAGGUGAUUACGGCGCUCAUCAAUGCUGGACAUCGAACAAAUGACAAGAGGUAAUGACGACGACCAUCAGCGCUGAACAACGUACAAGCUUGGGAGCAUGGACGGGGCACACGCCGCUAUAUUCAUUACAAGCAUGGCAUUUAAUAGCUGAGAAGGGAGACAACAAACAUGAACAAAUUGAAGGUAACCUUUGUUCAAAAGAACCUAGGGGGCGAAGAAAAACAACGUUCAACUAUAAUUUCCGAGCUAUAUUGCUAGAGAAUGUGACAAGUGCACUGAGAAACGGCUUGACUGUCACACUGAACGGGUUGACUGAAACGGCUUUAUAAGCAAGAGUUCGUCGGAUCACUGCAUGGUUAGUCUUUUUGGAGUUGCCACGGCCUCACUACAGUCAUGUGAUCAUUAAAUACUCGUAGGUAAGAUUUUUUACAGAUUAAAGUUUUCAAAUAGACUCUAACUUUUCUACACAACGUUUUCAAGCAUAGACGCAGGUCGUAGAAAUACUUGCAGAUUUAUAUAAGACCAUAAUGAUUAAACAUCUUUUGAGUGCUAGCAGAACAAACUGGAGUUACCACUACACUACUGAAGUCCUAAAUAACUCAAAAUUUCAAGUGAGGUCGUAAUUUCAUUGGUUCAAAUGGUCUUCAAUAGGUAAGAAGGAAAAUGUUAGGAGCAUUUGCAUUGGUGGAAAAUGGGAGUGAUAUUAGUUGGCUAAAAUGAACACGUUCCAGAUACAUAAACCAUUCGAAUUGAGCCAACUGACAGCUGCAUUGCCUACUUGAUAUUGGAGAAUUUUUUCUGCAUCAUAAUAAAUUACAAGCUCAAGCCCAAAUUCUUAGAGAAAAACUACUUCAAACUCAGAUAUCUUCCUAUGAAUGCUGUUUUUGAGUAUUUCAUGUGCUUUUGUGUGCAAUCAGGCAAUUUGAUAAGAAAGUAAACUGUUUUAGUAGUCAAAGCUCUUCUUGGAAUGGAUCAACUUCUACUUCUAGGGUAUCACUGUAUUGAAACCAUCAUCAUCAUCCCUCGAACUAUAUACGUUGAUCUCUCACUCGUCUUGAAACUACACUUUUCAGCCCAGUCUUUAAACCCAAUUUAGCAGCAGAAUUAUGGCUUGUAUAAAAGUCUCAUCUUGUUCAAAACAUUGUUGUUGAUGAUUUAGCAGCAGGAGUAAAGGCAUCUCCAUCUUCCAUUAGCUAAACCUUUCACAUCAUUUUUGAGGAUCAGGUGUGGCCUGGUUGUUGUGAAAAUCUAAUAGAAAGGAUUGUAAAUAACCAAUACAUAGUCCAUUGAUUUAAUUUUUACAUGGAGAAUAAAGAGAUUUGACAAAUGUUAUUUGAAAUUAAGCAGAAAAUUUUACAUGCAUUUAUAAUGGAUUUUAUUAGGGCAUUGAUGUAAAAGUGGAUGUAGUGAAUUAUAUUGCAAUUUUAGUAAUUUAUAAGCGCACACAAAAAGUAUCUAGUUGUUUCUAAUUAAACUUGCUUUUGGUAGUCAAUAAAAUGUGAGGAUUAAUUUGUUCCAAAAGAGCACUUUCAUCAGAUUUUACAGUGGCAUAAGUGAGACAAAGGUUUUGAAUAGCAUUGGUAUACAUUUAGAGGUUAAAACUGAUUUUUAUGAUAUGCAUUCUACCUUGGGUUGACUAUAAUACUCAUACAUACUCCAGCUAGAAUCAUUUUCACAGGAUCAAAAUUAUAACCAAAAUUGAAAGUCAUUGUUGGG
rnacentral:lncRNA from 1 species